CCCUUAGAUGUUCUGGGCUGCACGCGUGCUACACUGAUUACUUCAACAAGUGUUUUAACUGGAGAGUUCGCGUAAUCCUGAAAUGUUAUCGUGAUGGGAGUAGAGUAUUGUAUUUGUUAAUCUUUAACGAGGAAUUCCUAGUAAGUGUAGGUUUAUAAGUUGUUCUGAUUACGUCCCUGCCCUUUGUACACACCGCCCGUCGCUCCUACCGAUUGAUUGAUCCGGUGAAUUACAUAGAAUUUUGCGUUUUACAUGACGGAAGAUGAAGUGUUUUAAACCUUAUCAUUUAGAGGAAGGAGAAGUCGUAACA
rnacentral:rRNA from 1 species